rnacentral:rRNA from 1 species
AGAGUUUGAUCCUGGCUCAGGAUGAACGCUAGCGACAGGCCUAACACAUGCAAGUCGAGGGGCAGCAUUUCUAGCUUGCUAGAAGAUGGCGACCGGCGCACGGGUGAGUAACGCGUAUGCAACCUACCUUAUACUGGGGGAUAGCCCAGAGAAAUCUGGAUUAAUACCGCAUAACAUAUUUGAAUCGCAUGGUUUGAAUAUUAAAACUCCGGUGGUAUAAGAUGGGCAUGCGUAGCAUUAGUUAGUUGGUGAGGUAACGGCUCACCAAGACGAUGAUGCUUAGGGGGUCUGAGAGGAUAGUCCCCCACACUGGUACUGAGACACGGACCAGACUCCUACGGGAGGCAGCAGUGAGGAAUAUUGGUCAAUGGGCGAAAGCCUGAACCAGCCAUGUCGCGUGCAGGAUGACGGCCCUAUGGGUUGUAAACUGCUUUUUUACAGGAAUAAUUGUCGCUACGUGUAGUGAUUUGAAUGUACUGUAUGAAUAAGAUCGCUAACU